UACGGGGGGGGGCAAGCGUUGUUCGGAAUUACUGGGCGUAAAGCGCACGUAGGCGGCUUUGUAAGUUAGAGGUGAAAGCCCGGAGCUCAACUCCGGAAUUGCCUUUAAGACUGCAUCGCUAGAAUUGUGGAGAGGUGAGUGGAAUUCCGAGUGUAGAGGUGAAAUUCGUAGAUAUUCGGAAGAACACCCGUGGCGAAGGCGGCUCUCUGGGACGGUACUGACGCUGAGACGCGAAAGCGUGGGGAGCGAACAGG
rnacentral:rRNA from 1 species